GGGGGCAUAGCUCAGCUGGGAGAGCAACAGACUGAAGUAUAGGUGGUUACAAAGUCCAUUUCUGGAGGUCCCCAGUUCAAUCCUGGGUGUCCCCA
rnacentral:tRNA from 1 species